rnacentral:piRNA from 1 species
UUUUUCCGUGACAUUGAUAAAGC